CAGAGCUCUGGCGCACCUUAAACAUUUGCUUUUAAGAUUCUACCUCUGCAUAAAUUCUGCCAUUCAUUCACAGCAUGGAACUCACUCCCAAGGAGGAGCCCCUCGUGGGGCCAACCUGGUCCCUUUCUUGAAGGACUCAUAGCCAAGGGCGGUAGUGACAACAAACAGCAAGGCAGCAUGAGCCGCGAGCCGGUUGCCAGGCAAGUGCUUGAGACCCGAAGUGCUCUGGAGACCGGGGUGCAGAGCUGAGAGCUGGUCUGAUGUCCUAAGAGGUGCGUGCUCUGGCGAAAAGGGACCCAUCGGGACACCUUCCAGAGAGGAGGCAGCAACACAGAGCCAGCCCAGGUGCGGAGGCGGACACACGUCCAGAGGGCCCAAGCACUUAGAAAGGUAGACGCCUAGGCCUGCCAGGGAUCAGCUCAGCUGACUUCGCUUACAAUUAUUUCUCAAGAGUCUGUGGACCACAAUUCAUCAUCAGUUCCUGGGAAGGGCUAUCUGCUUCCUCAAAAGGUGUCCCGUGGACCUCAGGUCUGCUCUCACUCUCCAUGUGACCCUGGCAUCAUUUGCUCUGAAAUGAACUGGAAGUCAACUGUAAGCCAAAGGCUACUUUAAAAAAUGCUCCCUCAACCUUGGAGGGCACCCUCUGAGGAUAAGAAAACCAACCUUGAAAGGGAUGCUGCUCUGACCUAAAACUUUGAAAGAACUUUGAAAAUUCCAGAUAAGAAUUCUAAGGGCCCAUGCUCUUGCACUUGGUCAUCUGAGGUCACGGUUCCCCACACACUUCAUAUUGCUCCAACCUGGUAUGUCCAAGUGGACACCGGAAUCCAGCUGAAGGCUAAGUGAAAAAUGGACAUGAAAACCCAGAGUGAAAUAAGACUGUAAGCUGGCAUCUACCCUCCGUAAUCAUGGGGUAGAUAACUUGGUGUUUACUUUUCUGCAUUUAUCAAGUGUUAGGCGACCCAAAGUGUCUGCAACUCGAUGAAGAGUUUGCCAAACACCAGGGCUGCCUUUGAAAUAGCUCUAACAGAAGCUCAAACCGAAGGUACUACGUAGGAUGGUGAUGGUUCUCACUUAAUCCUGGCUUAAACCAUUUUAAGAGCUCCCCAGGUUUCAUAAUAGAUCACAGAAUGGAAGGGAAGUUGAAUGGCUUUGUUCCCCUCAUCACAGGAUCCGAAGGACCAAGAGGCAAGGACUCUAUGAGGCUUCCUUUUCUUCAGGGAAGAAAUGCCUCGCUCCUGGACAAGAGUAGCCCCCCUCCCCCCCCCUUCCCCACAGACCUCCAGUGGGGACCUGAGUAAACUCAAUAACACCAUCCCAUUUUUUAAAGCCCUGCAACUCCUGACAAUGCCUAUGUGUUAACAAUAAUUUACCCCAUUCUUCUGGCAAGAACAGAACUGAAGCAACUUGAAAUGCCAUCAGCAAAAAAUUAUUUAUUUCCCAUUCCUGAGCAGCAGAGAAAACAAGGUUUCAUUGGCUGGGUCUGCCUUCAAUAGCUUUCUGGUUUCAAUUAAAACUUCAAGUCUCCAAGGGAAAAACUGGCAUUCUGGGAGGCUGAGGCCCAGCCAAGUUUCAGUGUCUCUGCAAGAAUCCAGAAAGGACGUCCCAUGCAUCUAACCACUCUCAUCUUCCUCCUUUUGCAUAUUACAGAGAAGAUUUGGAGCAGAGAUUGAAGUACAUCUCAAAAUAAUGACCAGCUUGAAAGAACUCUCCUAGAGGUACGUUUUUGUGCCAGAGAAGUAUCGAUUCAGCCCCUAAUGGAAUUGAAAGUCAAGAUAACAGCAAAAAUGGAAUCAGGAAUCCAGAGGAAAUGCCUACCUAUUUAUUUCUUCUUCAGCAAACUCCUGCCUCCUGCCUCUCCCCACCUACUGUUUUCAACUAAAUUCUACAAAUAUUCAAACACUGUUUUCUCUUUCUCACAACCCUUAUUUUGGUCAGGUGAUUUACAAAGUAAAUUUGUGAUUUACUUUGUGAUUUACAAAGUACCUUGCUGUGAAUAAUGCAAGUACAUGACCAGAAGCCCUCCCAGCACUGAAGAGGUUCACUCAGGGAUACCCCUAGGAUUCCCCUGUGUGAAGUCCAAAACUGGGCCUGCCAGCAGCGCCUUCCUAUGUAACACUGUGAUGUUAACAUACAAAAGAUCGGAUUACACCCCUUCACUUCACUUCACUUCACUAGCCCAUUUAUGAACAUAUAAGGCAGUUGAUAUUUUCUCCCAAGCCAGAAGUGGCCCCUUCCUACCCUACCGCUGCCUUUCAGCCACGCCCCCUUACGUUCGCUACAAGCCAUCCCCUCCCCCAAGGCCAGUUUGUUUAUUCCAGUGACGCGUCUAUUUUCCCUGCUCCGCGCGACAAGUCCGUUUCCCUCCUCAGGCUCCCGAUUGCAUUCCCUCACCAACACCUCCCCCAGCCCAGCUCAGGUUACUAGAGUGGCUAGCCGUGCCCACAGCCCAGCUUUUGCACCAAUUCAACUUCCCAAGACUAAGAUUUUUUUUGUCUUACCGGGGGAGGAGGCAUAAGGGGCAAAGCCGCACUUUCAGAGUACCUGGUCUCCCCAUAUUCUCAGGCUACCUUCCCUGAAGUUUGCAAAUAUUCUCAGAUUCCACCUUACUCUUCUGAUCUGUCUUAACGCCCCUCCCUGGUAGCAGAGAAUUUCACGAAGUACAGAGGAAAACACAACAUCUUCAACUUCGCUCUGAAACCCUGGACUCCUGCCCCCUCCCUCCAGGAGUCUCAGGAUGGUGGAAGCCACAGAAGAGAGAAGGGGGAGGGAGUGACCAGGAAUUGUAAACUGGCUACAUUUUAAAGUGCUACAAACUUUCUCCUCCCUCACACGCCCCUGGCCGGUUUGGCCCCGCCUCCCCAUCCCGGCCAGACGACGUCUAACUGGGGUAAGCAAAGGAAAGUCUCCCAGACCGUGCAGGUCUGGCCCCAGUGCUGCAGAAGUGGCCUGCACAGAACACCACCCUUCCUCUCCACGUCCCUCAUCCCUACUCCACUCCUGUUCCCACCUCCCGACACACACACACACACGCACACGCACACGCGCGCACGCGCGCGCGCGCGCAUAUACACACGUUUUGCAAAUGAAGAUGAGUUUGAAUGGGGCGAAUCAGAUUUACCUGUGUGAACUAAAGGAGGGUAGGAGGUGGGUCCCCAACAGUAAGAUAGUUUUAGUAACAGCUACUUUAUGAAAUGAGUUUUUUUGUACGAAUCUACGGGGGGGGG